GGAAAAAAAAGUCUUCUUUUUUAAUUUUGUUGUCUUGGUCACUUGGCAUAUCUUCGAGGGUCGUUUCCGAUCGAAACCUAAAUUGAACAAUGAUUGUAGAUCCACUGCAUUCUACAUACAUGCUAGAAACAAGACUCUAAUGCAGGGAUAAACCUCCAAGCACGGUUAUUUUAGUUGUUCCAAAAAACUACUUGGGUACUUGGUAUACACUUUCUGUGUCUGUCCAAAAUUUCCAGUCGUGAAAUUGAUGCACCAGGACUCAUCAACGAGCCAAUUAAAAUUCUAACAAAACCCACAAAAAUAUAUGCACAGAUCUCAAGACUGCGUGUAUUAAAGAAAAAAAAAAUUCUUAUCAUUUACAAUAACAAGAACUCAGUUGCUAAAUGUAAACUUCAAAUCCCCGGUUCUUGCACCCAUUGAAGCUUCAACUUGCAGGAUAAGUAAUCACUUGUUGGGUACAUACGGACUACUGUUAAUUCUUUUCUUCGGUUUCCAGGGAACCUUCAUUGAUCUUCACUGUGUUUGCACUGGUCUCAGAUGGUUGAUCAGAAGAGAGUGACUGCUGCUCUAAAGUAGCGCCUGGAUUGAUCGGUUUCUUGAACUGCACUAUGAUCAUGGUCAUGUUGUCACAUCCCUCGCCACCAACAAUAGGUGCUAAACAUCUGUCGAAAACUUUCUCACAAAUUACUGAAAGCUUAGUUUCAGUGUUUAACUGCUCACGCACAUAAUCCACCAGCUGUUGGCUUGACAUGCAAUCCCUAGUACACAGGAGAGACUUUAUUAAAACCCAAGUGCAUUGUAAAUGGUUUACAAUGAAUGAUCGAAGGGGGAAGAAAGGAGGACAAGGAAAUUGUAAAAUAUGACUCAGAGAUACAUCAUGUGUCUUAUAAAUAGAUCAUGUUGAACACUUUCUCAAAUCAACAUCCAAAGGCAAAAAUCCUAUUCCACGCAGCGUUCAUUCAACAUUUACUUUUAGCAUAUAAUAAAGAUUAAGGGCCACAUUUUAGACUUGCAUCUUGGACCUUGUAGUAUACAGGUAUUGAAUAACUAAAGCACUCGUAAUUAUGAAGGAUAAUUGUCUAAUUCCCAAAACACAGUUAUAUAUUGAUGCAAUGGUCCAGCAUAGUUAGUGUACAGAAAAUCAAUUGAAAGACUCUGAACACAGAAAAUUUAAAGAUUUCCAGAAUAAAAGAGAGAAAACCCAGGGUCUUACUCAACUCAUAACCUUAACCUUGACGAAAUCCAAAUUUUGACAAAGCUGGUGAUGUAUCAUUAACUAAAUGCAAUGAUGUGCCGUAAAAAGCUAGAUCAAGCAAUUUUCUUUCUAAACAUCAGAUAAUUUAUAAAAAAGUCCAGCCCUAGCUUUUCAUUGUUGCAAAUGCAAAAAAAAGUUCCCCAACCUUACUCAGUGUUUGAAGUGAAGGUUCAACUUUUAAGUUAUUUUUUUAAUAUUAGAAAGAUUAUGUUGAGACUCUGGCUCAUAUUCGGAGAAGGUAUUACAAACUAAAAUGUCCAGGGAAAGGAGGGGUUUCAUGAAAAGCAGAGUGCUUUUUUCCUUUUUUAUCAUAUUCAAUUUGGCCUGAUAAUUCUAUAACUAAAAAUAUUAGCCAUUUGUACCAACUUAUUGCCAAAAGUGUUCAAUUCCUAACAUGUCAAACAAUUGACAAUGGAUGUUGAUGUUGCCUUUCUUUCCUGCUUCUUUUGCUUUCCCCAUCUCUUUCAUUUCCUUUCUGGUUACACAAUGCAGUAUUCUCAACCUUAUUAUUAUUAUUUUUUUCAGUUCCUCUCUCCGCCCGCUCCUCCUCUAGUCUCACUAUUAACUUCUCUUUCUUUCAGUCCCACUCUAUCGGCCGCAACAGUUUUUUUAGCUCUUUCAAUGUCAGCUUUACGAAUAUUCAGAUCACUCAUGGAACUGAUAGUGGUUCCAGCGACUCACCAAGUAAGACACAAAAAUUAAACCUAGUACGACUUAGCCUAGUUAUUAUUGUGUCUAUUCUAUCAAGCUCAUACCAUUGAUCUCAACAAAGAAGAUGAAACCCACUUAUACUGUUUCGGUUAUUGUUGCAAACCAUGGAUUGCCAACUGGCAUAUCUAACUGCAGAAACUGUACUGAACUCACCUGCAAGAACAAGACUGACAGCAAGUCUUUUGACUUCUUGAAUGAUGACAGACAAUAAGAUGAUUUCAAUCAAUUUGAAAACAUGGAGACUUUCCAUGAUUUUGGAAAGUUUUCUUUUUCUUGAAUCCUUGGUUUUGUCAAAAAAAUAGUUGUAUAGCCUAAAUCCUAUCAUUUUUCUCAUGACCCUCAGGCCUAGACCGCAAUCACAAUAGAUUUGGUGGCGUUGCAUCUAAGACUCACAGAGCUUCAUCAAUUGAGAGCUUGUUUUUCCAUUGGAACCAGAAAUUGGGAGGUCAUCUUCAAUCUUAACUUGGUAAUUUCUCAGAAAAUUUGGAAAAACUUCCUAUGGGGUUAAAUUUGUUUUGUGAGAAAAUACCCAAAAGCUUGCUUUACUUGAGCCUUUUGAAGUACAUGAAUUGUGAACCCAAUUUAGUUCUAUCAUUAUCUUGAAGGUGGCUGGAGGUGACUGGUACACAAGUGACAAAAGAAGCAUAACAAGAGUGAGGAUAGAAAGGGAAAGAAAAAAGAAAGGCAAUUUUGGGGCCGGGGGGGGGUGGGGGUUUGAGAUGAGAAAAAGAGAGUUGGUUUACACUUUGAACAGAAUCCAGAAAAUGGGAAACAAAAUGAUUGAUGUCCUUUGUCCCUUCAUGUUUGCUUCCAUAUGCAAAUGGAAUCUAAUUUCCCUUGUCAGCAUCCAUCAGGUCAAAUUCAUUUCAAGUCGGCUAGAAAAGUAAGUAACAAUGCUUUGUAAUGCAAGUCCAUUGGGUUUUAAAGGUCACAAUUCAUAAACAGGUCCAAGAAACAACUUCAAACUACACUGCGGAGCUAGUGUAUUCUUACAUUUGCAAAUAACACAGUCUACACUUUCAGUAAUUAUCUCAGAUUCCCAAUCUUUCUUAGAACUCUCACUAAUGAACAAAUAAGAUAUAAUAUUAUCCACAAAGGCACAGACAAUCUAGACGUGUUUCAUAAUGACAGGAAAUGGGGAAAAAGCAUGCAUCAUGUUUGGGCAAUUUCCUUCAUGCUAUUGAAAAUUCAAACUUCAACCAACUUACCAAAUGCCAUCACAAGCAAGAACAAGAAACUCAUCAUCAUUGCAGAGCUCAACCUACAAAAGUGGUGUUAAAAAGAAAUAAUAAUAAUAAAGUAAUGACAGAAUACAUAUAAAAUGAAAAAUGCAUAAACCAUGUGAGGCCAGCCAAACCAUCUGGAAUUCUUAAAGCUCAGAUGUAUAUUAUUUCUCAUAUUAUUUGGAUUAAAAAAAGUGCAGAAAUACUCGCACACAGAUAUUGAUUUAAACAGAAUACCAUAAUAGCUUAAAUUACAAAAAUCUUUUCCUAAACAUUACAUUCCCUGUGUAAAGCUCCAUAAAUAUUAACUGAAAACAGUUAUAAAGAAUUUUAACUAAAAAAGAAAGAACAGAGGCCAAAUCAAAAGUGAACAAUGCGUAAGCAGUUACACUACAUACAGUAUUUAUGUCUGGAUUGGCAGUUAUGAUUUGCUUCUCAGCAGGCAGUGAUUUGUUCUGCUUGAACUCUGCAUCCCCUACAACAAACAAAGUCAACAUGAGAAGCAAUUGGGUUAGAACAGGAAUUUUCCCCUCUUCUUCGUUAUCUUAGAAUAAAACUGGAACAACUUCAUGCACCAAUUGCCCUAGCCAAGUUUAAACUUCCAUUAACACGUCCAAAUUGUAUGAAACCGCCAGCUUUCAGAAUCCUAUCUCUCUCAACCUCAAGGUCAGGCUUGUGAUCUUUAGACAAAUUAUAUGCCUGACCCUUCCUGGAUAUAACACAACGGGAAUCACCAGCAUUGGCAACAACAAGUUGAUUGUUUCGAAUCAUUGCAACGCAUGCUGUGCUUCCAGCAUUUGGCCCAAGAAAAUCCGAAUGAGGUCCCUGGUUUUGCCAAAACAUUUCCUUAUAUUACUAUUAGAUUACUCAUAGUAUUUGACCUACAUUAAUAAGUGAAAACAGUCACAUCUAUCAAAAUAUACUAAAGCAGUGUUAAAAAAAAAACUUACAUUUGUAUAAAAAUUUGUUUUGUUGAGCUCAAGAGCUAAAAAAUUCCCCAUGCAACUUUUCCAGCUUGCAUCUUAAAUUCACUUUAUUUACCGAAUAUCUAUUUACCAAAUUUGAUUUAAGUUUUAAUUGAGGAUGAUAGUCUUCAUUUAGAAGGAUGAUAGUCUUCAUUUAGAAAAUCAAAGUUAUGAUGCUUUUUUGUUUAUAAAGCAUAUAUGUGGUUUUCCCUCAUAAACAUAAACGAGAUCCAUUGAGCACUUGAGCUAAUAUGAUUUCUUUCCUUAAAUUUUACAAAUGUAAACAUUCUCAUUUCUAGACAAAGCAUGAUAUCGAGAAGAGGAAAAAAUAUAAAAAAGAACAAAUGAAGUCAUCCAAUAGCUUUUUUUUGUUUUCUGCAUUGCUUCUUGAUAUGUGAAUUAAGAUAAGCAACCCUAAGUCCCAUAGAAUCAAAGCCCACACCAUCACAUAUAUUCUUCGCCAUGUUGUAGAAAAUACCAAGGAGAGUGAACUCCAUAUCUAACCCUUCCUUUUACACUAUCAAACACUCCCAUGCAUCUGUCAACUUCUCAGUGUGCAGGCCCAUGAAAUGACAAAACUGUCCAAAAUUUUCAUAUGCUGAAAAGGUAAAUAGCAGCAAUGUAAAUUUGGUUCAUUUACCAUAAAUUUGCCUGAUUCCUAUAUUGCAUGCAUUUGCAUAUUUGUAUAUAAUUUAUGGUAAUUUCUUUAUUCAAAUUUAAAAUUAGCCAAGUACCUGAGAAGCACAUUGAAUAAUAUUCUGUUUCUCACAUCAUUUCUUUUCAAAAUCAAAACACAUCACUGAAAAUAUUAAGAUUCACAACAUGCGUUAAAAGAUAUUGGGAAACCACAAUCAAUAACCUUUUUGGUCGAUUAGGAGUCUCAUGAGGCCUGCACAACAAGAGCAGCCCUCACUCAUCUUAUAAGUCCCAAUCCCUCCCUCUCCCCCAACCUCUUUCCAUCCCACAGGUUUGAACCUGGAAACUCCAAGUUGGAAAUUCUAGAUUUAACCACUGGACCACCCUCUCAAAUACAUCAAUAACUAUGGAUGCAAAUAUCAUAAAACAAUAAGCAAGCUGUUAGUGAAUAUGAUUAAUUAUAUAACUGAUAACCAACUUUAGAGAUCUAAAUGAUAUUGUAAUUUCAAUAAACAUUAGGCACCAAGAAAUAAAGGAAAUUUCCACGAAGAUGUUCAAUUCUAUUCAUUUUCAGAAUUUACAGUCUAUAUUUGAUAUUUAUUACAGAAAUACAAAGGAAAUAACCACUGAACAUGAAAGUCCAAGGAGUUAUGUGCUCUUCAAAAGUAUCUGCGUUUUGUCAUGCAUAUUUGAUGAUAGCAAUCUUACACAUCAAGACAACAUCCCAUAGCAAACUGAAAAAGAAUAUGUUUCUUUUCAUGUGAGUGUGCAGAGAGUACCUCCUCAUAAGACCAAUUAUCAACAUGGCCAUUGGCUUCACCAACCCUAGGUGACCAUAUCAGCCCUUCUAUCAUACCAGAAACCUUAUCUAUCUUAUUGCCCAAUAUGGCUAAUUCCCUCCACCCCCUUUGUCCACGCAUCAUUUCAUCCAUUCUGAGAAAAGCUUUCUGCGCAGAAGUGCCUAAAUCUCCAGCUGAAUAUGCUACAUGCGCAAGCACUUGCUGGUGAAGAUACUUA
rnacentral:misc_RNA from 1 species